UCUAGCAUUACAAGGAAUGUUGUAGUUGACUGCCUCUCAUGGAUCACAUCCCACAGUUCAGGCAGCUGCAGCUCAGCACCCAGAAAAACACAAAAAGAACAAGUUUGAAAUACCAGGUGCAUCCGAGGGAAACCCGACAGGGAUUGAUAUGUUAUAGCCCAGGACAUGAACCUAGCAAUAAAGAUAUCAUUUCGAUUGU